CUUGGUGUCAUGCAAUGCAUAACAACCACCUGUGCAGCCUCAUGGCCCUGCACAACCUCCUGACCACAGCGAUGGAAUAAAGUGGUCCAGUCAGGGGCAUUUUCAGCCUCUGGGGAUGUUGAUAUAGUAACUCCUCCUCUUUUCCCGUACCCUGAAAAAAUGCAGCCCAAGAAGCUGCCAAUGCUCUUACAGCUGUGAGGGGAGGGGCUGCUCGAGGAGAGGGGUAACCUAGAGUUGAGAGAUGGAGGAAGAGAUACAGAAUCUGGAUGGCUAUGCUCUGAUCCUGUAAUCCGACUAUGCCUGAAUGUGGAUCUACCUUCCAAAGGAUCCAGCUACUUAUUUUCAGGCCAUCUCUGCAGGCCUCCAUCUUGCUGUAUCCUGAAGGAGAUCUGGAUUCCCAUUCUGUCAGAGAAAAGGACAUUCCUUUCCUUGGGUGUAGGAAGGACAUCUCUGGAAUGAAGAUUUUCUUCGGAGGAAGGUCAGAUAAUUCUCUUAAGGCCCUCUUCAGGGGAGCAGAGUGAGGAGAAGGACUUCUCCAGCUCCAUUUACAGUCUGGCUCCUGGGCCUUUGGAUCCCAGCAGUGUCCGAGCAGGAGCUCAAAGGACAGCCCCACCAUGGGGGAUCAGCCCUAGAAGCUGUCACUACAUCUCCAAUGGACGCAACUAUUUUCCAGCAGGUGAAUGAGCUUCCUGCCCAUAGGAGAAAGGGUAAAAUCAAAAGGUGGUGCCCUUGUCUCCAAAUCUCAAGGUCCUCUGGAUGGCAGGCUUACAGCAUGGCCCUCUCCCAAGAAAUCAUCCAAAAAUUACCUCAGCCAUUCUACAGUCCCCAAGCUGACCAGGGGAGGGAGGACCAAGAAUCUUGAAACCUAAAUACUACAUUUGAUGGUCUCCUUCAGACUUAUUUUGGGAUCUGAUAUCUCUUUAAUAAAAAUUAUAAAAAUUGAGGCAAAGAGAGUCCCAUUUUUAAUAUAUUGUUCUAAUAAAUAACAGGUACCCUUAGAAGAAUGCAGACAAACACUCUUAUGGAAAUUUAAGGGAGCAUAAGACUUCUUCCAGUAUAGGGAGAGAACCAAGGAAGACUUCCUGGAGGAAAUGGCCAUUGAACUGGGCCUUGGACAUGUGGAGGUCAGGGAUGAGAGUAGUCCAGAUGAAGAGUCCAGCAUAGGGAAGGCCCACAGGAAGGAAUUGCGCUGUAUUAAUGCUGUCUUAGAGGCAUUUCCAUUGCCAGAAACAGAUACUCAAAUUACUUCAAAGAGAGAGACAGAGAGUAUUGAAAGGGUUUCUGUGAAUACCUCCACAACUGUGGUUCUCAAAGUGUAAUCCCUGGCCAGCAGCAUCGGCAUCA